rnacentral:lncRNA from 1 species
AACAACAAUGACCACGACGACAACAAUGACAACGACGACAACGAUGACAAAGACGACGAUGACGACUGUGAUGACAACAACAACGCCGACGACGACGACAAUAUUGAAAACAACGACAACAACAACAACAACAAUGACAACAACAACAAUGACCACAACAAUGAAAACAAUGACAACAACGAGAACAACGACUACAAUGACAACCAUAACAACAACGAC